UACGUAGGGGGCAAGCGUUGUCCGGAUUUAUUGGGCGUAAAGCGCGCGUAGGCGGCUACUUAAGUCGGAUGUGAAAGCCCUUGGCUCAACUGAGGAAGUGCACCCGAAACUGAGUGGCUUGAGUACUAAAGAGGGUCGCGGAAUUCCCGGUGUAGAGGUGAAAUUCGUAGAUAUCGGGAGGAACACCGGUGGCGAAGGCGGCGACCUGGGUAGAUACUGACGCUGAGGCGCGAAAGCGUGGGGAGCAAACAGG
rnacentral:rRNA from 1 species